CCCCUGGUGGUCCAGUGGUUAAGACUCUGCACUUCCACCACAGGGGAUGCAGGUUCAAUCCCUGUUUAGGGAA
rnacentral:tRNA from 1 species